rnacentral:rRNA from 1 species
GAGUAAUGUCUGGGAAACUGCCUGAUGGAGGGGGAUAACUACUGGAAACGGUAGCUAAUACCGCAUAACGUCGCAAGACCAAAGAGGGGGACCUUCGGGCCUCUUGCCAUCGGAUGUGCCCAGAUGGGAUUAGCUAGUAGGUGGGGUAACGGCUCACCUAGGCGACGAUCCCUAGCUGGUCUGAGAGGAUGACCAGCCACACUGGAACUGAGACACGGUCCAGACUCCUACGGGAGGCAGCAGUGGGGAAUAUUGCACAAUGGGCGCAAGCCUGAUGCAGCCAUGCCGCGUGUAUGAAGAAGGCCUU